GAUGAAGAACGUAGCGAAAUGCGAUAAGUAAUGUGAAUUGCAGAAUUCCGUGAAUCAUCGAGUCUUUGAACGCACAUUGCGCCCCCUGGUAUUCCGGGGGGCAUGCCUGUCCGAGCGUCAUUGCUGCCCAUCAAGCACGGCUUGUGUGUUGGGUCCCGUCCCCCUCUCCCGGGGGACGGACCCGAAAGGCAGCGGCGGCACCGCGUCCGGUCCUCGAGCGUAUGGGGCUUUGUCACCCGCUCUUGUAGGCCCGGCCGGCGCUUGCCGACACCCAACCAUUUUUUUCAGGUUGACCUCGGAUCAGGUAGGGAUACCCGCUGAACUUAAGCAUAUCAAUAAGCGGAGGA
rnacentral:misc_RNA from 1 species